rnacentral:rRNA from 1 species
AUUGAACGCUGGCGGCAGGCCUAACACAUGCAAGUCGAGCGGAGCGGCGGACGGGUGAGUAAUGCCUAGGCAUCUGCCUGGUCUUCGGGGAUACCGUCCGGAAACGGGCGCUAAUACCGCAUACUCUCAGCUGAGCCUAGGUCGGGUUAGCUAGUUGGUGGGGUAAAGGCCUACCAAGGCUACGAUCCGUAACUGGUCUGAGAGGAUGAGCAGUCACACUGGAACUGAGACACGGUCCAGAAUCCUACGGGAGGCAGCAGUGGGGAAUAUUGGACAAUGGGCGAAAGCCUGAUCCAGCCAUGCCGCGUGUGUGAAGAAGGUCUUCGGAUUGUAAAGCACUUUAAGUUGGGAGGCGUUACCAACAGAAUAAGCACCGGCUAACUUCGUGCCAGCAGCCGCGGUAAUAC